rnacentral:tRNA from 1 species
GGAGGGGUUGGAGGGGCGUGUGCUUGUUGUCGCUACAAGCGACAACAAGCACACGUUGGUGACGCUCAGUUGCCGCCCUGCUG